UACGUAGGGGGCAAGCGUUGUCCGGAUUUAUUGGGCGUAAAGAGCUCGUAGGCGGUCUGUCGCGUCGAAUGUGAAAACCCGGGGCUCAACCCCGGGCCUGCAUUCGAUACGGGCAGACUAGAGUUCGGUAGGGGAGUCUGGAAUUCCUGGUGUAGCGGUGAAAUGCGCAGAUAUCAGGAGGAACACCGGUGGCGAAGGCGGGACUCUGGGCCGAUACUGACGCUGAGGAGCGAAAGCGUGGGGAGCAAACAGG
rnacentral:rRNA from 1 species